UGGGGAAUAUUGGACAAUGGGCGAAAGCCUGAUCCAGCCAUGCCGCGUGUGUGAAGAACGUCUUAGGAUUGUACAGCAUUAUAAGUUGGGAGGAAGGGCAUUAACCUAAUACGUUAGUGUUUUGACGUUACCGACAGAAUAAGCACCGGCUAACUCUGUGCCAGCAGCCGCGGUAAUACAGAGGGUGCAAGCGUUAAUCGGAAUUACUGGGCGUAAAGCGCGCGUAGGUGGUUUGUUAAGUUGGAUGUGAAAUCCCCGGGCUCAACCUGGGAACUGCAUUCAAAACUGACUGACUAGAGUAUGGUAGAGGGUGGUGGAAUUUCCUGUGUAGCGGUGAAAUGCGUAGAUAUAGGAAGGAACACCAGUGGCGAAGGCGACCACCUGGACUAAUACUGACACUGAGGUGCGAAAGCGUGGGGAGCAAACA
rnacentral:rRNA from 1 species